AUGGAACUCCUAGCCAGAACAAUGAGGUUAAAAAAUAAAAAAGGUUUCAAAGUCAUCCAAAUCAAAAAGGAAAAAGUAAAAUUGUCUCUCUUUGCAGAUGAUAUAAUCCUUUUUGUUAUUUUUAAUUUGUUAAUUCUGCAUGUAUUAUCUUUGGCUAUGUUUUCAUUCAUAACGGAAGCAGAAGAUAUUAAGAAGAGAUGGCAAGAAUACACAGAUGAACUGUACAAAAAAGAUCUUCACCACCCAGAUAAUCACAAUGGUGUGAUCACUGACCUAGAGCCAGACAUCCUGGAAUGUGAAGUCAAGUGGGCCUUAGGAAGCAUCACUACGAACAAAGCUAGUGGAGGUGAUGGAAUUCUAGUUGAGCUCUUUCAAAUCCUGAAAGAUGAUGUUGUGGAAGUGCUGCACUCAAUAUGCCAGCAAAUUUGGAAAACUCAGCAGUGGCCACAGGACUGGAGAAGGUCAGUUUUCAUUCCAAUCCCAAAGAAAGGCAAUGCCAAAGAAUGCUCAAACUACUGCACAAUCAAACUCAUCUCACACGCUAGUAAAGUAAUGCUCAAAAUUCUCCAAGCCAGGCUUCAGCAAUAUGUGAACCGUGAACUUCCUGAUGUUCAAGCUGGUUUUAGAAAAGGCAGAGGAACCAGAGAUCAAAUUGCCAACAUCUGCUGGAUUGUGGAAAAAGCAAGAGAGUUCCAGAAAAACAUCUAUUUCUGCUUUAUUGACUAUGCCAAAGCCUUUGACUGUGUGGAUCACAAUAAUAUGCUUUUGAACUGUGGUGUUGGAGAAGACUCUUGAGAGUCCCUUGGACUGCAAGGAGAUCCAACCAGUCCAUUCUGAAGGAGAUCAGCCCUGGGAUUUCUUUGGAAGGAAUGAUGGUAAAGCUGAAACUCCAGUACUUUGGCCACCUCGUGCGAAGACUUGACUCAUUGGAAAAGACUCUGAUGCUGGGAGGGACUGGGGGCAAGAGGAGAAGGGGACGACAGAGGAUGAGAUGGCUGGAUGGCAUCACUGACUCGAUGGACGUGAGUCUCAGUGAACUCCAGGAGCUGGUGAUGGACAGGGAGGCCUGGAGUGCUGCGAUUCAUGGGGUCGCAAAGAGUCGGACACGACUGAGCGACUGAUAUAAUCUGAUCUGAUGUUUUCAUUCUUAUUUCUGGUGUUAUUUCUCUAUCAUCAGAAUUAUCAGAGGCUUAUGAAUUUUAUUGGGCUUUUCAAGGGACUAACUUUAAUUAAUCUAAGCUUACCUUUGUGGGUUAUUUUCUAUUUAUUUCUGCUUAUAUCUUUUUAAAUUCCCUCAUAAAUUUUUUGUUUUGUUUGGUUCUCUUUCUUUCAGCUAGAGUUGAAACCUUACUGCAUUUAUUUUCUGUCUUUCUUGCUAAUAAAUGUACUUAAGAACGUAUAUUUCUGCUGAUU
rnacentral:lncRNA from 1 species